rnacentral:rRNA from 1 species
UACGGAGGGUGCGAGCGUUGUCCGGAAUCAUUGGGCGUAAAGGGCGCGUAGGUGGCCCGGUCAGUCAGUGGUGAAAGCGCGGGGCUCAACUCCGCGUCGGCCAUUGAUACUGCUGGGCUUGAGCACUGUAGAGGCAGGCGGAAUUCCGGGUGUAGCGGUGGAAUGCGUAGAGAUCCGGAAGAACACCGGUGGCGAAGGCGGCCUUCUGGGCAGUGGCUGACACUGAGGCGCGACAGCGUGGGGAGCAAACAGG